ACGGGAGGCAGCAGUGGGGGAUAUUGCACAAUGGAGGAAACUCUGAUGCAGCAACGCCGCGUGAGGGAAGAAGGUUUUCGGAUUGUAAACCUCUGUUUUUCGUGAAGAAAAAAAUGACGGUAGCUAAAGAGUAAGCCACGGCUAACUACGUGCCAGCCGCCGCGGUAAUACGUAGGUGGCACGCGUUGUCCGGAGUUACUGGGUGUAAAGGGUGUGCAGGCGGGACUGCAAGUUGGAUGUGAAAUACCGAGGCUUAACCUCGGGACUGCAUCCAAAACUGUAGUUCUUGAGUGAAGGAGAGGUAGGCGGAAUUCCGAGUGUAGCGGUGAAAUGCGUAGAUAUUCGGAAGAACACCAGUGGCGAAGGCGGCUUACUGGGCUUUAACUGACGCUGAGGCACGAAAGCAUGGGUAGCAAACAGGAUUAGAUACCCUGGUA
rnacentral:rRNA from 1 species